GAUGAAGAACGUAGCGAAAUGCGAUAAGUAAUGUGAAUUGCAGAAUUCAGUGAAUCAUCGAAUCUUUGAACGCACCUUGCGCCUUUUGGUAUUCCGAAAGGCACACCUGUUUGAGCGUCAUGAAUACCUCAAUCUCCAUCUUUUCUUCGGAUUGAUGGGUGACUUGGAUGUUGAGCCCUGCUGGUAUGCUAUAUCAGCUGGCUUUAAACUUAUUAGCCGGCUCUGUACUGGAUCGGUUUGACUCGACGUGAUAAUAUUAUCGUUGAGGAUGCAUGGCUCAUGCAGCCGGAAAGUAUCAAAGCAGCUUCUAGCUUGCCUUUAGUGCACUUUUACAUUUUAGACCUCAGAUCAGGUGGGACUACCCGCUGAACUUAAGCAUAUCAAUAAGCGGAGGA
rnacentral:misc_RNA from 1 species